GACGUAGGGCGCGAGCGUUGUCCGGAUUUAUUGGGCGUAAAGAGCUCGUAGGCGGCUUGUCGCGUCGAGUGUGAAAUCCUGCGGCUCAACUGCAGGCUUGCAUUCGAUACGGGCAGGCUGGAGUUCGGUAGGGGAGACUGGAAUUCUCGGUGUAGCAGUGAAAUGCGUAGAUAUCGAGAGGAACACCAGUGGCGAAGGCGAGUCUCUGGACGAAUCCUGACACUGAGGCACGAAAGCCAGGGGAGCAAACAGG
rnacentral:rRNA from 1 species